GGUUAAGCGACUAAGCGUACACGGUGGAUGCCCUGGCAGUCAGAGGCGAUGAAGGACGUGCUAAUCUGCGAUAAGCGCCGGUAAGGUGAUAUGAACCGUUAUAACCGGCGAUUUCCGAAUGGGGAAACCCAGUGUGACUCGUCACACUAUCAUUAACUGAAUCCAUAGGUUAAUGAGGCGAACCGGGGGAACUGAAACAUCUAAGUACCCCGAGGAAAAGAAAUCA
rnacentral:rRNA from 1 species